rnacentral:tRNA from 1 species
UGUGCUGUAGCUCAGUGGUAGUGCACUUGCCUAGCAAGUGUGAGGCACUGUGUUUGAUCCUCAGCACCACAU